AUACGUAGGGUGCGAGCGUUGUCCGGAAUUACUGGGCGUAAAGAGCUCGUAGGUGGUUUGUCGCGUCGUCUGUGAAAUUCCGGGGCUUAACUCCGGGCGUGCAGGCGAUACGGGCAUAACUUGAGUACUGUAGGGGAGACUGGAAUUCCUGGUGUAGCGGUGAAAUGCGCAGAUAUCAGGAGGAACACCGGUGGCGAAGGCGGGUCUCUGGGCAGUAACUGACGCUGAGGAGCGAAAGCAUGGGUAGCGAACAGGAUUAGAUACCCUGGUAGUCCAUGCCGUAAACGGUGGGCGCUAGGUGUAGGGGUCUUCCACGACUUCUGUGCCGUAGCUAACACAUUAAGCGCCCCGCCUGGGGAGUACGGCCGCAAGGCUAAAACUCAAAUGAAUUGACGGGG
rnacentral:rRNA from 1 species